UUCGAAUGUGUGAGUGCAAUUCGAAGGAGAAAGGAACUGACAGGAGGCGGGAGCGUGGGCAGGUGGACGAGCUUGACGGCAUGGUUAGAGCGGGCAGUGAAUUGGGAGACACGGGAGGAAUAUUGGAAGCAGAGAAGAACACAAGACAAUAAGUACUAGUGCGGAUAGCCAGGUAAUCAAUUUACAAACAAGAGGAGCAGUCUCGAGUGUCGGCCUGUGUACCAGGAACGAGUGCGAAUAUUCUGGCGCUGGCAGGCUUAAAUACAGGCAGUGAUGAGUGCUGAUUGGGAACAAGUGUACGGGCGAGCAGGUGAGGACUGCUGGAGAGAGAGAGGGGGGGGGGGGGGGGUAAGCGAGGCACAAAGUGCCCCCGCAAGCUUCAAAAAAGGAACUGCAGGGGACAGAUCAUGACAUAAAAUCCAUCUUAUUCAGGAAAAUUCUUCUGCCUCUUACUGUUGGUGUUGCUCUUCCUUGUCGUCUGUCACUUCUUCGAAAGCCUGUCGCUCAGGGGUCUGGGAUUAAAAAAAAAAAAAAAAAAACAUUUCCAUGCGUAAAUAUAGCGCUAUAUUCUCCAUAAUUCUCUGUGUCCUGAGACUAAGCACAGUAAACUAUUUACUCAUUUGAAAAAUAAUGGGAGGUAAUUCAUAAUUACAAUGAAAGAAGUAUUUCUUUCACGGCAACAUCAGGGAACAGCUGGCUUGGAGUCUUGCCUUCAUUUUAUUUAUGAAAGAAGUAUUUCUUUCAUUGAAGGCAAGUUAUUUUAUGCAUUUUUUUCCAAUUCCACACACAGAUGAUUCUUCUUCAGUGGAGGGAGAUAAAUCCAUCAGUUCACUGCCAGUGCUCUCUGAUAUUUUCAUUGAAUUUUCUAUGUUAGUUCUGUCCUGUAACCAACAUAAAAUUCGAUAUAAUAAAUUAAUACAAUUAGUCUCAGCUCCAGCCUGGAUGCCCCAGUUCCAGUCUGUAAGUGUUUCUGCUCGAAGCUGCAAGUCUCAGGUCCAGGCUGGAAUUCCCAGCUCCAGGCUGGAAGUGCCGGCUCCAUACUGGAAGUUCCAGCUCCAGCCUCGAUGUCCCAGCUACAGGCUGGAGGUGCCAGCUCCGAAUGAAUGUAUUCUGAAUGAAUCAAUAAGAAAUGUUGAACAAACAAAUCUAUGUCCCAGCUCCAGCCUGGGGGUGCCGGCUCCAGGCUGGAUGUCCCAGCACCAGGCUGGUUGUCCCAGCACCAGGCUGGAUGUCCCAACACCAGAUUGGAUGUCCCAGCACCAGGCUGGAAAUGCUGGCUCCAUACUGGAUGUCUUAGCUCAAGGCUGGAAGUCCCAUCUUCAGGCUGGUAGACCCAGCUCCAGGCUGGAGGUGCCAGCUCGAAUUGAUGAAUGAAUCAAUAAGAAAUGUUAAACAAAAACAUAUAUGUCCCAGCUCCAGACUGGAUGUCCCAGCACCAGGCUGGAAGUGCCAGCUCCAUACUGGAAGUCUCAGCUCCAGCCUGGAAGUGUCUCAGCUCCAGGCUGGAUGUGCCAGUUCCAGGCUGGAUGUCGCGGCUCCAGCGCUCAGAAUUAGCCCCCCAAGGCCUGCUGCGAAUGACCCAAGUGUCAUUCCCAAUUAAAUGAAUGGGAAUUACACUAAGGACACGAUACGGGUCCAGUACAUACUUUGGUCGUUUGGGGCAAAAUGCAUAAUCCUCCCCUGUCAGCUGGUGUACUUUACCUAGGCUUUGGUGUCACCGGGGUUUGCAAUAUACCUUUUGCACAUGUGUAGGCACUCUAGUUUUACGUGGGGGAGCACCAGUGCGGCAUGGGGCACUUUUCCCUCCUGACAUCCGGCCGAGAGGAACUCUGAGCGGGCAUGUGAGAGCGAGGCAUGCCCAGCAAUUGUCUUUGCACCUCUUUGCAUAUGUUAAUGAAUCAGAAUAAAUUCUAAAUGACCGGCUCAUGCCCAGGGCAUCCUAUCUGCAUCCACUGCGCCUAUAUUUCCCUUUAAAAGGCCAUCUGUCUGACGCAUGUCAGCUAAUGCACAGAGGUUUUUUUCACAAGAGGUGGCUGAUCCAAAAUUUUAAUAACGUUCUUAAUCUGUAUCCGAUAUUUAAUAGGUUGGCAUCAUGGGAAAGCUUGUUAAACACAGAACCGACAUCAUUCAAUCAUUUAUUAUUUUGACGUUAAAUUACAGAAUGCGGCAUAAAACAACCAUACCAAAUUUAAGAGCCAAGAAUGAGCAAAUCCUGCAUAUGUUACGUAAUAAGUUAUACAUACAAUAUAGCACAGCAAAGAGGCAUUUGUAGUUGAUAAGAUUCAAGCAUUGGAAGCGAAAGGAAAUAUACGAGCCUUGUGUGGCGACCGGAUAGUGUGUCAUAAAUUACACUAGCGGCGGUGUGUGUGUGUGUGUGUGUGUGUGUGUGUGCAUGUGAAUAGAUCAAUUUACAUAACAUCUGCACAUGCAGAAUCACAGAAAAAUAUAUUAAUCAGAUUGUCGUAGGGAUCAGAAAGAAUACCUGAAGCCUUGGAAAAACUAGGAAAUUUGAGCGGUUCGCUCGCAGAACCUCAUUGAGAAAAAAUGUUGGCUGCGUGCGCAGAUAGUCGGCGAGGGACAUGCAUCAAUGCACAAAUCUGCAAGACAGCGCUUGUACAGGACGAAGGUAGAAGUGUCCUUUUAAUUGUUAUUUAGGACAGUCAACCCAUUAGCACAUUUCUGCUUUAUUAUUGCCCAAGCUAUUAUUAUUGUUUUUAUGAAUGAAUACAUUUCCAAUAUGUUGUCCAUCAUGUGUGUUUUACGUAUUUCAAUAGAUGAUCCUGCAGUAUUUCUAUGUACGCAUGGUCUGAGGAUGUUGUUUGUUUGCAGAGUACGAACAAAAACAAAUACAAACAUAUUGCUAUAUCACAGGUUUGCGUGUCAAACUUGCAUACACACGAUUUAAGCACAAAUCUGUGCCUACGCACGGUUAGUGAAUGAGGCCCAUUUAUUUCAAGGUAGGAAACAUGCUCUAAUUUUGCUUGACUGUCAGCAUUCAUGUGCAUUCACUUUACUUAUCGGUGGCUAGAUCAUUUAUUAUAUUCAUAUAAUGUUCUCAUUAUGAUAAAAGUCUAGUGUCGUGGAGUGGAGGCGAAGGCGAAGGCAGGUAGACCCAAGUACAGGGAAGCAGGCAAGCCAUGAGUGAAGACAAGACUCAAAUAGGUGUUUAACAGGAGAAAAAAGAAAAAGGCAAACAAGGGUGCGGGAUAUAAUUAAAGGUUCAAAUCAUAACUGAGACACUAGCAAUCAAUAAUUUCCAGCCAAAUCUUUAAAGGUUGAUAGGAAACAACAAUAAUCAUGUUUAAAAAUGUAUCUUUUAUGUUGUUCUUUGUUAUAAAUGAGUGCCAAUAGAGCCAUAUUAUGCUGUCACAAUAGUACUGGAAGUGCAGUCAAAAGGUGCAGUUUUCAUGCGGUUGGGUAAGAGUGCUCUAUUAACUUCUCAGUAUGCUGCACCGCCCAUGCAAAAAUGCAGUGGAAACCCAUGCUGGGAGUCAGCAAAAUCCAACAAUCGAACAAUAAUGUAUAACUUUACAGAUAUGAUAUGAGGCUGCUGCACGUUUACAUGCCUUUCAAAAUCAGUCCAAAAGUAUAUUGCAUGUGCAGUAAAUGUUUUUAAAUGUAUUUUUUGAUUGAUUUAUUUCUGCUGAGUCACGACUCAAAAGUUGAGAAUCACUUUAUUAUUACAAUCAAUACCUCAAGCUACUAGACGUCAUGGAAGGAUUUUCUCGUAUCUUGUUUUUGAGGUGUGAGGAAAUUGAUGUGAUCAGUCUAAAACAUAAUUUGGGGAAUAAUACAUUUUGAGUUAUAUCCUAUGCUCUGGUAUAUGUGCAAUAAUGCCUAAUGUCUUAGUUUCACUCUUUGGGUACUAUAUUGUUUCAAUACAGCAAAUAUAAGAAAGGACAUUUUCACUGUAAACCCUCGUUUAUCCAAAGCACAUGCCUUUGUGCUCUGCUUCAGUGACGUUAACAACACCCCUUGUGGACAUGGUAUGAACAGGCAAUCACCUGUGUUAAGCAUUGGUACCACUGCAUUCACUGACAGUCCUGACAAUGUUGUCAGCUAAAAGCAUUAUGGGAGCCCAGAAUUCAUUGCAGGGAUCUUUUUAACUAAAGCGGUAGUUGGACAAAAUCAAGCUUAACAUUGCUCUUUGUAUUUGUUCCUGUCAAUAUUGUUAUGAGUCUGUGCAUCAGCUAUUCGGCAGGGUACAAGUUGGUAGUUGUGGAUUUAUUUCAUAAAACUCUAACUGUGACAUUCUGGUCAAGCAAUCUGGUGACUUAUUAGAUAUAUGAGUUGAGGUUGUCUUUUUCCUGUAAUAAAAAGAUCCCAAUUGAUCUUAUGUGUGUCAUUUCUGCCACAAUAAAAUCAUGUAGCCAAUAAAGCUAUCAGAGAUGUGCACGUGAGUGACUGCACAACAGUGAUUUAUAUUAAAAAAAAAACCAUUUGUUUUUGUUUUGUUAAAUGCAAGAACAUUUAAAUGAGGUUGGUUCUUGACACUUACUGCGGUUCUGUGUUGAACAGAAAUGUAAAGUGAAAGAAACAAAAGCCAGACCUGAAAUCAUGCAAAUUCAAUAGAUCAAUUUAUGUAUAAUUUGUGUCCUAUUGUGCUGCAUAUCUGAAAGUUAACAAUUGCUAAUAGUGUAAUGAAGCCAUGUUUGAAUUAGCAUUACAUUUGCAUCUAAGCUUCCACUCAGCCAAGAAAAUGUCCCCAAGACAGCCUGCCUUUGUUAAGCAUUAAGCCCGGAUUAGAAUUUUGCCCUCAAAUACGAGCUUUCACCAGAAGCCUUUUAAUGAAAAGUGUAUGUGUGUGUGUGAGCACACGUGUGUGUUUGUGCGCGCAUGUGUGUUUUUCCUCUUCCUUGGGCUUUUUUUUGUAUUCUGAAGUGACGACAGGGGUCAGGAAAAACAUUUCAGUGUCAUGCCAGUUCGAGAUAACUGAGAUGCAUCGUGGACCCUAAACUAAUUAACAUCUACCCUUGAAGUCUGAACUCCCAAGCAUCAAAGUCCCCCAGAUGUUGCCACCGGACCACCUGUCUGUGAAUAGGAACAAUUGCUGGGGCAAGGCAACACCCGCUGGCGUCGAGAGGAACUGCAAAGUCAAACCGAGGGGGUACUUUCAUUUGAUGUUUAACCAAGGAUAAAUGUCUGUUUUGGUAUUUCACGAACUCUGCAGAAAUUUUUGAAUUUGUAUGCCUUCAUGUCUGUGUGAGUGUGUCAACUUUACAAGUGCAAUUACAAGAUUUUGAGAAUUGUUUGUCUUGAUUUGACUCCAAGCAGCAUGAAAUGUGAUUUGAACCAUAAGCAGUUGAUUUACCAAAACUAACGUAUGAACAGUCAGUCCGAUAUGCUUGAUUUCUGAGUAAACAGAGUACCAAGUUGAGGUUAUUUUAUAUUAAUAUAUGAUUUGAAACCCAUUUUUUCAAAUUUGUAGACAAUAUUCAAGCUGAUGGGUGUGGUCUUCUCCAUCCCUCUUCGACACGCCCCUGGGGUACUUAACCCUGACUCUUGUGUUUUUCUCAUGUUUUUUCUCUCCUCUGGCUUCUUGGCUUGGAGGGAUCUAGCCAGCCACGGGCUGGCCUCGCCCACCCCUCCCACUUUGCGCUUUCUUUAUUCGGGCACACGGCUCGGUAACCACGAACCUUGGGGAUGGAGAUCCGGCUCCCUAGCCUUUGUGGACCGCCGCUGCUAAGCCUCCGGAAGAGUGGCUGCUGAGUUCCACAGAUACGAUCCCAGCCAAACGCUGCGAUUGGCUGGCGACCAGUUCAGGGUGUGCGCGCCUCUUGCACGAAGAUAGCUGGGAGAGACUCCAGCACGCCCGGGACCCAAUGGGAGGAAACCGGAGUGCCCGGAGAAAACCCACCAAGGCACGGGGAGAACAGGCAAACUCCACACAGGCGGGGCCAGGAUUUGAAGCCCGGUCCUCAGAACCGAGAGGCGGAUGUGCUAACCAGUCAUCCACCGUGCCGCCUCAAUGUUGGAGUUGGCCAAUAAACCACAGCCUGGAUCUUGGCUGGAUCGGCCCGAAGCUGGCCCUUCUCCACGAUGAACCCCAAAAACUGUACCGACUCCGCAUAGAACUCACACUUCUCAGCCUUGAUGUAAAGACGGUUUUCCAUCAAGCGCUGCAACACCAUGCGGACAUGUUGCCGAUGUUCAUGUAGAUCACGGGAAAAGAUUAAGAUGUCGUCCAAGUACAGAAAACAGAAUACAUUUAUCAUGUCCCGGAGCACAUCAUUAAUAAGACACUGAAACACAAAGGGUGCAUUCGUGAGUCCAAAAGGCAUGACUAAAUACUCAAAAUGACCGAAUGGAGUAUUGAACGCAGUCUUCCACUCAUCUCCCUCCUUCAUCCUCACCAGGUGAUAGGCAUUGCGCAGAUCUAAUUUUGUGAAAAUAGGCUCCAAUUUACAAUCUGUAGUUGAUCCCAAUUAAUAUCUGGAUUAUGAAGUUUUAACCACGUUAAUCCCAGCACAACUGGAGCAGAUUGACAGGGCAUUACAAAAAAAUUGCCGCAAUUCAAUGUGGUUACCCGAAAGCUUUAAACACAGUGGAGCCGUAAUAUGUGUUGUAACCGCCAGGAGACGCCCAGCCAAAUCAAUAACUUUUCUCGGUUUGCUAAGUCUGUACAGUGAGUUGCACUUUGAUUAAAUUAUAUUACGGUGAAUUGUGAAGCCGCGCGGUUCCCAGCAUGCAUUGUGCCAUGCAACCUUGAACUGUUAAAGACUAAUAAAGAUGUGUCAUGUCAUGUCACAUGAACGAUUAAGGAUUAACACAACAUGAAUCAUGUGUUUAUGUUACCCAUAGUUUGUUGAAUGUGUGUCUUAUAUAAUACAUACAUAUCAUACUUUGGGUUACAUUUAUGUUGCACUUUGUUUUCAUGAAACCCUGACUGUGUGCAAAUGAGUAACAUCUUUAUCAGUUCUCCUGUAUGCUAAAGGAAGCUAAGCUAAGCGUUAGUUGGCCACUUAUCAGCUGCCUAAGAUGCUAGCGUGUACUUUCUUGUGAUUGCUUUACUACUGCACACCAAAAGAUCGGCAGAUUUCUUCUUGUGACACAUCAAUGCUACAGUCAAUUAAGUUUGGCAUAAAAAGGCUAGGCUGCAAGGGGUCUUGGGAGGACGGGUACUCUAAUUCAUUUCGGGGAGGAAUACUGAUUUUAUCAAAUGGGCACCACCCUCUGCAACAAAUAAAGGGGAGUGAAAAUGUA